CGGGGUGUAGCGCAGCUUGGUAGCGCAUCUGCUUUGGGAGCAGAGGGUCGCUGGUUCGAAUCCAGUCACCCCGA
rfam:Atopobium vaginae PB189-T1-4 contig00032, whole genome shotgun sequence.